GACGAACGCUGGCGGCGUGCUUAACACAUGCAAGUCGAACGGAAAGGCCCUGCUUUUGUGGGGUGCUCGAGUGGCGAACGGGUGAGUAACACGUGAGUAACCUGCCCUUGACUUUGGGAUAACUUCAGGAAACUGGGGCUAAUACCGGAUAGGAGCUCCUGCUGCAUGGUGGGGGUUGGAAAGUUUCGGCGGUUGGGGAUGGACUCGCGGCUUAUCAGCUUGUUGGUGGGGUAGUGGCUUACCAAGGCUUUGACGGGUAGCCGGCCUGAGAGGGUGACCGGCCACAUUGGGACUGAGAUACGGCCCAGACUCCUACGGGGGGCAGCAGUGGGGAAUAUUGCACAAUGGGCGGAAGCCUGAUGCAGCAACGCCGCGUGCGGGAUGACGGCCUUCGGGUUGUAAACCGCUUUCGCCUGUGACGAAGCGUGAGUGACGGUAAUGGGUAAAGAAACACCGGCUAACUACGU
rnacentral:rRNA from 1 species